UACAGAGGUCCCAAGCGUUGUUCGGAAUUACUGGGCGUAAAGCGCGCGUAGGCGGUUUGGAAAGUCAGAUGUGAAAGCCCCGGGCUCAACUUGGGAACUGCAUUUGAUACUGCCAGACUAGAGUACAGAAGAGGUGACUGGAAUUCCCAGUGUAGCGGUGAAAUGCGUAGAUAUUGGGAGGAACACCAGAUGCGAAGGCGGGUCACUGGGCUGAUACUGACGCUGAUGCGCGAAAGCCAGGGGAGCGAACGGG
rnacentral:rRNA from 1 species